GAGGUUGUAGCUCGGUGGUAGAGCGUGUGCUUAGCAUGUACAAGGUCCUGGGUUCAAUCCCCAGUCCCUCCA
rnacentral:tRNA from 1 species